UACAGAGGGGGCAAGCGUUGUUCGGAUUUACUGGGCGUAAAGGGCGCGUAGGCGGCGCAACAAGUCACUUGUGAAAUCUCCGGGCUUAACCCGGAGCGGUCAAGUGAUACUGUCGUGCUAGAGUGCGGAAGGGGCUACUGGAAUUCUCGGUGUAGCGGUGAAAUGCGUAGAUAUCGAGAGGAACACCUGCGGCGAAGGCGGGUAGCUGGGCCGACACUGACGCUGAUGCGCGAAAGCCAGGGGAGCGAACGGG
rnacentral:rRNA from 1 species